CAUGUAAGAGCAAAUAUUGUGAUUUGUGUUUACACUGAUUGCAGCUGAGUAAGAGGCCCUUGCUUGGCCUCUGCUGAAAAUUUCCAGGCUGAUUGAAUUUUGUAAUACUAGCUGGUCACAUUGCAUCAACAAGUCAGGACAAUCUCGGGACAGAAAUACAAGCGAUUUCCUUUAAUAAGAAAGUACAGCAAUGGCCCAGUUUCUUCCCAGCUCUCGGUGCACAUUCCCGAGAUGGCACCAGGAGGCAAGCUGCACUAUCACUGAGGCGUUGCUCUGAGGGGAAGGAGAGAGGGAACUUGACGAAUCAGCCAAUUUGCAGAUAAAGAGCAGGACGAGACCCGUCUUCCGGACCAGAAUAGUAAGUGGAAAGAAGAGGAAUACUCAAAGCUGAUUUCAAAAGGGAAGUUAACCUGCGGGAAGGGCAGGGACGUCUUCCUGGAUGCCUGAGACCAUAUGGAAGGAAGACCAGGAGGCAGCCAAGUGACCGGAGCUGAGAAAGGCAGUGUGACAGAAGGGCAGCAGGACUGAAGUUGUUGUGGAUACUACGCUAAUUAUGGGUAACUCCAGAAUCACGAAUUGGAACAUGAAGAGAAGCAAGAAAAUGGACAGGCGACGCAGACUGCAUUCUGCAAGAAUCUGUGGCCCUCUUGCUAGAACAGCAUGCUGUUUAGCUGCCAAAAUAUUAGGACUGAAAGCAGCUGGCAAAAAUGUUCAUGGAGGAAGUGAGCCUGCUCGGAGAGGCCAAAGGAAAAUUCUCCUCGACUGUGACCCCAGAAGGACCCCCGGGCCUCAGGACCUCUUUUGGAAGCCUCUGCUCAGUCAGCUUGGGGCUCCCUCAGACCCCAGGGCCCCGGGGGCUCCUUUGAAGAGCAGCAUAGGAGAAUGCCCCGACAUGAUCCUUUUAAAAACCUUUGCAGG